UUUAUUGACUUACAGGAAAUCCUCGUCAGUUUUGACCUCACUGCUACUUAUGGUCUGGUUCAUGACCUCAUGCCUGUCCCCAAUGAGGAGAACAGGUACUGCAGUCCAUGUAGUCUUGGCUGUAAAAAGUGUUGAGUUCAGCAGAUAAACACCACACCCUUUGUCUGUUUUGUUUCUGAUGCCAUACUAAACUCUGAUUUAUUUUUCCUAUUGUGUCAUAUGAAUUUUACUCACUUGAUUUUCUUUCCUUCACCCUAAUCAUCUGCACCAGUCUUGUCACAAUGUGUGUCCAGGUUUAACUCAGGGAUGUUCUCGGGUCAGCACAAUAGAAGGGGGGCUCACAUCUUUCUCAGUGUGUGGCAAACAUCUUUUUCCUUUUCUGUUUCAGUCACGGCACCUGCUGCGCAGGGGAAGUUGCCAUGGAGGCCAACAACUCUUACUGUGGUGUGGGCAUUGCCUUCAAUGCCAGGAUUGGAGGUAUCCAUCUGCUGGGCGGCUCAGUCACUGAUGCCAUGGAGGCCACGGCUCUGACCUUCAACACUAACUUCAUCGACAUCGAUGUGUGCAGUUGGGGCCCGAGGGACGACUAGGCUGAAAUGGAAGGACCACGCAGCCUGACAGAGCGGUCCCUGCAGCUAGGAACUCACAAGGGUCGAGGUGGAAAGGGCAGCAUCUUCGUGUGGGCGGCAGGUAACGGCGGAGUGCGGCACGACCAUUGCGGAGCAGACAGUUAUGUUAACUCCAUCUUCAGCAUCGCCAUCGGCGCCGUCACUCAAACCGGGGGGCCCGCCUACUAUGGCGAGGCUUGCCCGGGGGUCAUGGCUGUCACUCUAACAGGGGCGAAUGUGGGAGGCUCGCUACCUUUGGUGACUGUAACCAACACCGGUGAUGGAUGUGUUACUUACUUUCCAGGAACAUCCAGUGCUGCUCCGAUUGCUGCAGGAAUUCUGGCUCUGGUCCUAGAAGUGAUUCCAGAGCUGACGUGGAGGGAUGUUCAGCAUCUGAUCGCCAAGACAGCAAAGAUUCCCGACCCCAAAGAACCAGGAUGGAACAUAAACGCAGCAGGAUACCACGUCCAUCACAGGAAGAUUUCUGCAAAAGGAAAAGUCAGUGUGAACAUCCACUCAGAGGCUUGUGGAGGGACGACUAAUGAGGUCAACACUCUGGAGCAUGUACAGGUGAGAGUAAGCAUCAGCUCUGUGUGCCGGGGUGACCUCUCCAUCAGCUUGGAGUCUCCAGGAGGCACGGUUUCACUGCUGCUGGAUACCAGACCCAAUGAUGCUUCCACCGAUGGUCUGAGGAACUGGACCCUGAUGACUGCUGGGGGGAGCAGCCCCGAGGACUGUGGACGCUGCAUGUGACUGACCACAAAGGCACGGUGAGGAGCUGUACGAGACCCACUGAAGAGGAGGAGGCCGUCGGAGCUUUGCUCGGUGUUACACUCAUUCUCUAUGGAACCUACCGCCCACACAGGACCAAGCAUGACAAACCACUGAAGACCUUUGUGUCCAUGGGGUCACAUCACCUCAUCCCUGCCGAGGUGCUGCUCCAGAGACACCACUACCCUUGCCUGAAUCUGAUUCAGUGGAUCUACCAAAUGGAGAGAGACAGGAGGGUGCGGGCUGCUGAUAUCACUGUAACCAGACGGCAGGACUCGAAAAAGGACAGAAAUUGUCCAGAAGAUUUUACAAAAUGACCUGAGACGUAUUACGUACCUACAUCUUCAGGUAAGGAGAGGGUGAGGAGGGGGAGGGUUGGGAGUGCUGUUAUGAGAAAUGUUGUACUAUGAGUAAGAAUGUUAGCGCGUUCAUUGUGUUCUUUAGUUGGGCUUUAAUCUAAGAAACAUAGUCAUAUAAUGGGCAACAGAAGAGCACAUUAUUUGUGAGAUGGAGUCACAUCAACAGUAAAUAUCAACAACACCAUUAAGGCUAAAUUCACCAGAGAAAAAACAACUUCAAAUCCCAGUGGUUUCUGCCAGUGUUACUGUUGCUUCUCUUAAUUACGAACCACCGUGCUUGAAAACUGACAGACUAUUGAUUCUCCACCACUGUGUACAAUGGUCAUUUCUUUUUCUGAAAAAACGUUUGUUUUUGUUUUCCUUCAUUUAUUUGGAACUAUGUCCGUGUGUUUAUGCUCCGUACAUGUAUGAAAAAGGACGUUUUUCAGUAAGAUAGACGUUUUUCAAUAGACGAAAUUUUGUGAUUCCUCAAUUUACAUCACAGGCCAAGAAUCAAAAUACAAAAUGUAUGUGCGUUUGUAGCGUGUCAAAAUAGUGACCUAAAAACAAUUACAUGAACUAGUUAUUAUUGCAGUUCUAUUAAAUAUGGAUAUUUAAUCAAAUGUCUAGCUCUGAAAUGACAAUAUUUUCUUCUAUUGUCCGUCGAUCACAGUGGUUGUCCAUGUUUGGGCUGUAAUAUAAAAUAUUGAUGCUAAAAGCAGAAUUUAUUGUACAGGAGAAAGUUUUUUCAGUCUCACUCUUUGUGCCUGAUUUCUGCUGCCUUCACUGUUCUUGCUGUAUUCACUCCACCACAUGAGACUGCCACUGUUCUCAGCUCUUCACCAGCAACAGUGUAUGGCUGUACAUUUUGGCUUGGGAGUUCUCUUUUUUUUCCUUCAUGUCUUUUUAUAGUUUUUCUCGUUCAUAGCGUACACCCCACUGUGCUUCUAUUUUCAUGAAUGCUGUGAGAAAUAAUUGAAAUCGUCGUGUACGCUGCCGUCUGCUGCAGUGAGCUCCCACUUCCUCAUGCCGUGUAAAUACUGUAUCACUGAAACCCCUGCUGUACAACUGCUGGUUUGGGAUUCCUCGCAGCUCUAGGACGUCACUGUAAAACUUGAGCCAAGAUCAAACCAUAGCUGAAGUUUGUUUGUCCUUCUUUCCUUCUCUGAGGAAACAGUGUUGAGUCAGUUUCCUCAGAACAGCUCUCAUUCAUUCUAAAUCCAUCGACACUCUCUCUCGCGCUCACUUGCUCUCCCCCUCUCUCUAUCUCUUUUUCUCCCACUCAUUACAUCCAUAAGGAGAAGGAAUUGGUGUCAACCGAGUCACAACCCCUGCUGCAAGUGGUGUGAAAUGGAACAGACGGAGGACCUCAAAGAGUCUCAACACAAAUGAAUAAUGUUCCACAACAACUAUAAAUAAAAUAAUGGCUUUUUUCAGGAGCAGAUUAAAGGUCUAAUUCACAGCUUUAUCUCAUGAAUGUCAGGAUAUUAGUCUUGUUGUGAAACAGCUGUAUAUAUUGUUUUCCCUGUCUGUGGCGGUUGGAGGGGAAAAGAAUGUUGUGUCAUCAGAUUAGGGAGAGAGAGCUUGUAGCGAUACAAUACAUUUUAAGUAGUGGUUGUCAAAGUUUGAAAUUGUUAUCAGUAUGUUGUUAAAAAGACAUUUACUGGUGAAUAUCUUCAUAUAAAUUAUGACACAACAGAAAAUGUUCAUACUUUUACUAUAGUAUAUUACUAUACUCAACUACACUCUACAAUACUAGACUACAACGGACUGAACUAAUAGUAUCGUAUACUGUGUAUACACAUAUAUGAAUGUGUUAUAGUAUAUAAAAUACUUUACUAUACGGUGUAUCACUAAACUGUGUUAUACUCUACUAAAUUAUAUGAUACUAUGCUAGUGUAUGUUAUGGUAUUGCCGUAUUAUGAUAUAUUACUACUUACGACAGUCUGAGCUCCUGCAUAAAUUACAUUUUAGUUUAAGCAUUUAUUUUAGGUCCAGUUUAUAGUUUUUCACAACAUCAUGCUCUAAAAUAUAACAUUUUUGUAUACACUACAACAAGUACUUCAGAAGCCUUGACAGAAGUCUCCCUUCAACAAAGGGUUUAAAGAAAUGUAUACACUUUUAGAUCAUACAAAAUAAGAGAUCAAG